UACGGAGGGUGCAAGCGUUGUCCGGAAUCAUUGGGCGUAAAGGGUCCGCAGGUGGUUUGAUAAGUCUGACGUGAAAUACCGGAGCUCAACUCCGGAACUGCGUUGGAGACUGUUGAACUGGAGUAUCGGAGAGGAAAUUGGAAUUCCAGGUGUAGCGGUGGAAUGCAUAGAUAUCACGCAGAACCCCGAUUGCGAAGGCAGCAUACUGGGCUAUAACUGACGCUGAAGCACGAAAGCGUGGGUAUCGAACAGG
rnacentral:rRNA from 1 species